ACAUAGAGAUCAGUCCACAGACAGCAGAGGGACAAAGCUCCACUACAACCCGAUCACUGAUCAAUAAUCUGAUUAUUAUAGAGACAUAUUGAUCCUUUAAGUUUCAGGGUUUAAAGAAUAACGUAUAUUAUAUAUUUAUAUUUGUAUAAUGAUAAAAAUGAAUCAUUGUCUCUCCGUCUCUCUGCAGGGCCUCCUUCACCUCCACCCUCCUCUUCCUCGCCACGGUGUUGGUCGGGAUCACGCCGGCCGUCAGUCAGCCCGACGACCCGUCAGAGUUCAGUUCCAUUCGGGGCCGAGAGCACAAACGGGUUCCUGAUGAUGAGUUUUAUAAACGUGCUCGUUGUGAAGGUAGAAUCCGUCUUCUUCAUGUGCUGCAAACGCUGCAGAAGCCAGGUUAAUUAAAAGCCGGAGCUCUCGCCCCGUGGGACGAGGAAUGGAUGGUCCCGGAGAAGAGAGGGUCAUUUGUAACGCUGUCGGAGAGCUCGGGGCAGGGAGGGGCUGCGCGGUCGGAGGUCAGUUAGGAGGAGGACGGAUGUAAAGCGAUGAGAGGAGGAGAGAGUGGGGGAACUACUUUCUCUAUCACACAGCGGUAGGAAGGGAAGGAAGCUCUGAUGUCCCCCGCUCUGGUUCUGUGGCUCAUUCGGGCCCCGCUCUGGUUCUGUGGCUCAUUCGGGCCCGGCUCCCCGGCAGUAUCCCCCACUGGUCCCUCUGCUGCUACGCUAACAGUGUUUAAACUCAGACAGCUAAUAGCACCGCUAACUAGCUGAUAGCAGCUAGCACAGUUAGCACAUGUAGCAGUGCAGCGGUCAGAGACUUCCUGACAUAAGACCCGAACUGACUGCGGUUCGGUGCAACAAGUCUCUUAGCCAUUAGCCAUUAGCCUUUGUUAGCAAUAGCAGUGACACAGAAGUGCUAAUGAACAGCUUUCAUGUGGAGCAGCCAUCUUGGAUUUUAACAAACAAACAAACUAAUAUUUUAUUAUUUAAUGUGGAAACAGACGAGUUUAAUAUGGAUGGUGUGUGUGUG
rnacentral:lncRNA from 15 species